rnacentral:rRNA from 1 species
AGGACGAACGCUGGCGGCGUGCUUAACACAUGCAAGUCGAGCGGUAAGGCCUUUCGGGGUACACGAGCGGCGAACGGGUGAGUAACACGUGGGUGAUCUGCCCUGCACUUCGGGAUAAGCCUGGGAAACUGGGUCUAAUACCGGAUAUGACCUCCGAUCGCAUGGUUGGUGGUGGAAAGAUUUAUCGGUGCAGGAUGGGCCCGCGGCCUAUCAGCUUGUUGGUGGGGUAAUGGCCUACCAAGGCGACGACGGGUAGCCGACCUGAGAGGGUGACCGGCCACACUGGGACUGAGACACGGCCCAGACUCCUACGGGAGGCAGCAGUGGGGAAUAUUGCACAAUGGGCGAAAGCCUGAUGCAGCGACGCCGCGUGAGGAUGACGGCCUUCGGGUUGUAAACCUCUUUCAGCAGGACGAAGCGCAAGUGACGGUACCUGCAGAAGAAGCAACCGGCUAACUACGUGCCAGCAGCCGC